rnacentral:tRNA from 1 species
AGGUAGCCGUACCGGAAGGUGCGGCUGGAUCACCUCCUACAGGGAGACAAAAAAAUGAUUGUGAUGUCUGAGUAAAUUAUUCUUAGACUAUAAUCCUGUCACCUUAGGUCGAUCGGUACCUCAAGUUAAUAGCUAAAUAAAACUGACAAUUCAGUAUUGGUUAGUAAUUAGCUUCAGUUCCUAAACUUUGUCUAGGUCACACCCAACAAGGGUACUCCUGGGCCAUUAGCUCAGGUGGUUAGAGCGCACCCCUGAUAAGGGUGAGGUCCCUGGUUCAAGUCCAGGAUGGCCCAUUCGGUGUUGGGGGUUUAGCUCAGUUGGUAGAGCGCCUGCUUUGCAAGCAGGAUGUCAGCGGUUCGAGUCCGCUAACCUCCACUGGCAGACCUCCUUGAAUUAACUUAAAGGAGAUUUUGUUGGUUCAAUGUGAUUUAGACUAUAGCUUCACUGGAUGAACCUAGCUUCCUAUCAUUCCUUUUCUAUCAAUUGAUAGUAGAUAAGGCUGAUAGCACGCUGGGCUCACUGCAAUUCCAAAAGAUUGCAGGGAUCUUCAGUAGAACCUUGACAACUACAUAGUGAGUCUGGAAAAAAUAAAGCAUCUCAUGGAUGCAUUAUUUACAUAACAUAAUUACGAUUAUGAUUUGAAAAUAAUGUUAAUUCUUGAGCAAGAGCUGAGACUUUAUAGCGUUCUUUUGAUGCCUUUAAAUGCAUUAAGAGUCAGAUUAUUUAUUCAAUAAACUCUUUGAAUAAAUAAGAAAAGUGUUAACAGCACAAAACGCUAUAAAGAUGAAUGGUCAAGCUACAA